rnacentral:rRNA from 1 species
UACGGGGGGAGCAAGCGUUGUUCGGAUUUACUGGGCGUAAAGGGCGCGUAGGCGGCGCGACAAGUCACUUGUGAAAUCUCUGAGCUCAACUCAGAACGGUCAAGUGAUACUGUCGUGCUAGAGUGCGGAAGGGGCAACUGGAAUUCUUGGUGUAGCGGUGAAAUGCGUAGAUAUCGAGAGGAACACCUGCGGCGAAGGCGGGUUGCUGGGCUGAUACUGACGCUGAGGCGCGAAAGCUAGGGUAGCAAACGGG